rnacentral:rRNA from 1 species
ACGACGUCAAGUCAUCAUGCCCUUAUGUCCUGGGCUGCACACGUGCUACAAUGGCCGGUACAAAGAGAAGCAACCUCGCGGAGGGUGAGCAAAUCUCAAAAGCCGUUCUCGAGUUCGGAUUGAAGUCUGCAACUCGACUUCAUGAAGUCGGAAUCGCUAGUAAUCGCGGAUCAGCAUGCCGCGGUGAAUACGUUCCCGGGCCUU